rnacentral:rRNA from 1 species
GACGAACGCUGGCGGCGUGCUUAACACAUGCAAGCCGAGCGGUAAGGCCCUUUCGGGGGUACACGAGCGGCGAACGGGUGAGUAACACGUGGGUGACCUGCCCUCAGCUCUGGGAUAAGCCUGGGAAACCGGGUCUAAUACCGGAUAUGACUCCAUGACGCAUGUUGUGGGGUGGAAAGCCUUGUGCGGCUGAGGAUGGGCCCGCGGCCUAUCAGCUUGUUGGUGGGGUGAUGGCCUACCAAGGCGACGACGGGUAGCCGGCCUGAGAGGGCGACCGGCCACACUGGGACUGAGACACGGCCCAGACUCCUACGGGAGGCAGCAGCGGGGAAUCUUGCGCAAUGGGCGAAAGCCUGACGCAGCGACGCCGCGUGAGGGAUGACGGCCU